GCAAUCUGAAGAUCGCCCGCGAAAAUCGCACCGUGUUUCUGAGCUUGCUGGGCAUCUCGUGGCUGUGGUUCGUCGGCGCCACCUUUCUGUCGUCGUUUUUCAGCUUCGCGAAGAAUGUGCUG
rnacentral:ncRNA from 1 species